rnacentral:rRNA from 1 species
AUUGAACGCUGGCGGCAGGCCUAACACAUGCAAGUCGAGCGAGCGGCGGACGGGUGAGUAAUGCCUGGGAAUCGCCCAGUCGUGGGGGAUAACAGUUGUAAACGCCUGCUAAUACCGCAUACGAUUGGAUGGCGCAGGUGGGGUUAGCUAGUUGGUUGGGGAAUGGCUCACCAAUGCGACGAUCCCUAGCUGGUCGGAGUGGAUGAUCGGACACACUGGAACUGAGACACGGUCCAGACUCCUAAGGGAGGCAGGAGUGGGGAAUAGUGUACAAUGGGGGAAAGCCGGAUGCAGCCAUGCCGCGUGGGUGAGGAAGGACUUCGGGUUGUAAAGCACUUACAGCGAGGAGGCGUUACUCGCAGAAGAAGCACCGGCGAACUCCGUGCCAGCAGCCGCGGUAAUUC